GCUAUCUACCAAGUAUGUGAGCUUCUGAAUUUGGAACUGCUAAGAUUGGGGAGUGACUGUCUAUUUACCUCACUGUGGUGGGGGAGAAAGCUUUAAAAAAAAUUGGACUGUGGAACAAGAGUGACAUCCAGUGGCCACUAAGACAACUUCAAAAAUUAGGAUUUAUCUGUAAGGAAAACACUGGGGCCUAAUUUGAUUAGUAGAAUGUCUGUCAUCUGGUGGGCGGGGAUUUUAUGUUGUGCUCUGGAAUUGGCCCCUCUCUUCAGGUGUUCAGUUAAGUUCAGUUAGAGAGACCAACUGUCAUUCUUGUCUCAUGUUGUUGUAGUUUCUCUCAGACACUAUAUUAUUGUGUUACAAUUUUCUUUGACAUAACGGGAGACGCUUACUUUGCUGAAAGAAAAGAAACUCUGCUGAAGAACGUUGGAAUAUCUUAAACUGGCAGCUCAAGUGACUCCAGUUGAACUCUGGCAUUUAUCACAGACGAAAUUAGGUCAGCAGAGAACAUAGAGGUACUGAACUGAAAGGGGAAUAAAUUUGUCCUAAAAAGGGAAAUGGGAAGAGGCUCUCACAUUGUUGUUUAAAUCAGCUGCUGCUCACAGACGGAUCUAACAACGUAGUCUGGGCUCCGUGCCAAAGGCUGGUAUUUCACAGCAGCGACCGCCUUACAGAUGAGCUGUGGGAAGCAAGAGGGAGAAUCUCUUAGGGUGCCACUACUAUGGAGACACAGCUGGGCUGAACAUGAUUUGCUUCAUACGACAACAAGAGAGGCAGAAAAGUGUCUGGUUCAAGCGCUGCCCAAGCAGGCAGUAACCAGAAGAGCUAGCAGCCAAUCCGGCCAAGCUGCACUGUUCGAAACCAGCUCCACAUCUCAGCCAAUCAGUGACAUCAUUGGUCUUCAGGGAUUUUCACCAUGUAGCUGGCAACACAGAGUUCUUAUUUAACCAUCAGGCGUACUGCACAAAUGUGCUGUGAAAAAUUAAAAUGGAAAAGAAAACCGAAGAACUGGAUCAUGUAAGAACUGAAUGAAGCUGAGCUGCAUCAUGAAGAAAGACAGGAAUGAGUUAUAUACACCAGUCUCUGCCUCAGUGGCCAGGAUCUUUAUGGCUGCUGAUUCUUUGGCUCUGGGUUCAUCUGCCGAACAUCAUGGAUCUGUUCCUAAAAGUAGACAUUUUCUUUUCCAUUCUACAAUUGAGACUCAGAUGCCGAAGGAGAGAGAGUGAAUCUUUUCCGCAUUGUUGUUGUGCCAUUAAAAGUCUUGGACUUUAAAAGCAAAAAGUGAUUGGGGAAAAUACCUUCUUUCCCGCCUGCUAACUGUAUGAAGAAUAUUUUUUGAAAGUUCAAACGUGGUUCAACCGACUCGGGACCAAGAAUGACAAGUUAGCUCAAAGUCAUUGUGUUCUGCAGUUUAGGAUGUGGAAAGUAAAUCUGCAUUCAAAAGUCAGGUGCUUUUUCAUAUUAGUAGAGAGAUACAUAUUCAAUAAAAGAAAGAAGGGGGGAAACAUAAGUGAUACCCAAAGGGCAUUCUUGGUCUAAAAUGGCUUUAAGGUGCAGAAUGUUUUAGGGCCCACUGUAAAUAUGGUAGUGAAGAUAUAAUGCUGAACUGUUUAAUCUUUGUCUAAGCCACUGGAAAAAAUAGGAGAGUGUUUAAAAGUCUGUUUGAAACAGAUGUAACCUGCUUUUAGCUUCCUGUUCUUACUUCUUUUGCAUGCACAACUUUGAUAGCCUUUAUAAAUGGGAGGGUUUAUUAAAUAAAUAAAUAAAUCUCAAUAACAUCUUGCUCAUGCAACUGAAGGUCUGCUUUGUCAGUGUUAGUGUUGCCUCUUUUUGUUAUAUCUUCCGCACUUGCUGAAAGAGAUACUUUCUAAAACAACAACAAAGCCCAAUCUGAUUAAUUGAAGAAGAAUUCGACUGGAUCUUAUCGGACUUUUCCUAGUCCCUGAGACCCUAACUUGUGAGGUUUUUUAGUAACAAUCACAAGUCAGGCUCUUGGGACCUAGGCGGAGGGGAACCAGCAACUUUGGACUUUAAUGAUUAACUUUCCACGAUAUUAGCAGCAUAAAAAGAGAUAUUUGUUGAUGGGGGAGGUAUGUGAUGUUUUGGCCCACAGAGAAAUGCAUUGUGCAGAAUAGAGAUGGCAACGUGCUGUGUUACAGGUUCAUAUAUUCAAACAGCUGUACUGUACUCUUUAAUGUUUUGAAUUAAUGUUGGGCCUUCAUUCAAGUGCUGGAGAAUAAAGCAUCCCUGUGAUUAGAUAAUGAAACUAUGCUUGACUCGUUUGCCAUUUCCACACUGAGGCCUAGCAAACCAGUAUCUUCCCCCUCCCACCUAUAAAGUUUUGAUGCAAGUGUAUAGAUAGGUGUUUGCUUGUCCUGUCAUUUUGUUCCAAUGUUUUAAAUGCUCUCAUCUCUGUUUCUUUAAUUCUAACCAGCAUCACAGCAUUCUAUAGCACUUCCAUAGUUUUACUAUAACAUAAAGCUAAUAUCAAAUGUA